UACGUAGGGGGCAAGCGUUGUCCGGAUUUAUUGGGCUUAAAGAGCGUGUAGGCGGCCAGACAAGUCUGCUGUGAAAACUCGAGGCUCAACCUCGAGCUGUCGGUGGAAACUGUCUGGCUAGAGUCCGGAAGAGGAGAGUGGAAUUCCUGGUGUAGCGGUGAAAUGCGCAGAUAUCAGGAAGAACACCUAUGGCGAAGGCAGCUCUCUGGGACGGUACUGACGCUGAGACGCGAAAGCGUGGGGAGCGAACAGG
rnacentral:rRNA from 1 species